CUGCAAGCACAACCCUGCAGGAGACGAUGGAUGUCCCAGCAUGCUGCAGUUACUUCUCUUCGAUUACAUGGAUGGGACAGAAACACUAGAGGAGUUUCUAUUCUCUUUUGUGCAGCCGGCGAAUUCUCCGUGGGGAUCUCCAUCUAUCUGGCAGGUCACAUUACAGCCCUGCUGUUGUAACUGAUCCGUCCAUAGGUUUCUACAGAAGAAGUGCUAUUGAUGAAUUACUGCACAUGGCGCUGAGAGUUAUGUUGCAGAGUUGUUACUUUUCAACUAGAGAGCUUUCCUGGGAACUUUCCAUGAUCUGUUGGACAGCUAAGGAGUUUUGGACAAUAUAUAUAGAGCAUACGGCUGCCAUAACUCAUUGUGACCAAUAAACAAGGAAAGCAAAAAGGAUAGAAAAUGUGAAGAUCAAAGAGGCCAGCAGGACAUGCAUAUCUGUGAUUAGUGAUGAAUUUUACUGUGUUAGAGAAAGUGGACCGACUAUAAAAGAUGCUGGACCUCCUGGCAAGGCUGAAGCCCC
rnacentral:lncRNA from 1 species